rnacentral:rRNA from 1 species
UGGGGAAUAUUGCACAAUGGAGGGAACUCUGAUGCAGCGACGCCGCGUGAACGAAGAAGGCUUUCGAGUCGUAAAGUUCUUUUAUAUGGGAAGAUAAUGACGGUACCAUAAGAAAAAGCCCCGGCUAACUACGUGCCAGCAGCCGCGGUAAUACGUAGGGGGCUAGCGUUGUCCGGAAUCACUGGGCGUAAAGGGUUCGCAGGCGGAAAUGCAAGUCAGGUGUAAAAGGCAGUAGCUUAACUACUGUAAGCAUUUGAAACUGCAUAUCUUGAGAAGAGUAGAGGUAAGUGGAAUUUUUAGUGUGGCGGUGAAAUGCGUAGAUAUUAAAAAGAAUACCGGUGGCGAAGGCGACUUACUGGGCUCAUUCUGACGCGGAGGAACGAAAGCGUGGGUAGCAAACAGG